rnacentral:tRNA from 1 species
GGCGACAUAGCCAAGUGGUAAGGCAGAGGUUUGCAAAACCUUUAUUCCCCAGUUCAAAUCUGGGUGUCGCCU